rnacentral:rRNA from 1 species
UACGUAGGGGGCAAGCGUUGUCCGGAUUUAUUGGGCGUAAAGAGCGUGUAGGCGGCCAGACAGGUCCGUUGUGAAAACUCGAGGCUCAACCUCGAGACGCCGAUGGAAACCGUCUGGCUAGAGUCCGGAAGAGGAGAGUGGAAUUCCUGGUGUAGCGGUGAAAUGCGCAGAUAUCAGGAAGAACACCGACGGCGAAGGCAGCUCGCUGGGACGGUACUGACGCUGAGGCGCGAAAGCGUGGGGAGCGAACAGG